AACUACGAGCUACAGCUUAAAACUCAAAGGACUUGGCGGUGCUUUAUACCCCCUAGAGGAGCCUGUUCUGUAAUCGAUAAACCCCGAUCAACCUCACCAAUCUUUGCUAAUUCAGCCUUUAUACCGCCAUCUUCAGCGAACCCUAAAAAGGGAUAAAAGUAAGCACAAUGAUUCAAAUCAUAAAUAAGUUAGGUCAAGGUGCAGCCUAUAGAUUGGAAUGAAAUGGGCUACAUUCUUUACUAAAAAGUAUAACGGAAAUUAUUAUGAAACUAAAAAUUGAAGGAGGAUUUAGCAGUAAAUUAAGAGUAGAGUGCUUAAUUGAAUUUGGCAAU
rnacentral:rRNA from 1 species